rnacentral:tRNA from 1 species
CCUUUAGCUCAGUUGGUCAGAGCAACCGGCUCAUAACCGGUAGGUCCCGGGUUCGAACCCCUGAAG